CCGGGCCGGGCUGGGCCGGGUGCGCGGGGCGGGCAGCGGGUCCCGCUCCCAGCGAACGAACAAUGGCAGCGGCGGCGCUGCCCGGCACCUCCUGAAUGGGCGCAGGCCUGGGGGGCGGCGGCGAGGAGGAGGAGGAGGCAGCGGCGGCGGGGCGAGGCGAGGCGGGAGCCGCCGCCCCCAUCCUCCCUCCCGCCCUCCGCCCGUCCCUGCGCAGGGAGCGCGGGGCCGGGGGCCCGUCCGUGGGGCGGCGGCGGCGGCGGCGGCGGCGGCGGGGGAAGGGGCGGGGGCCGGCGGCGGGAGGCGGGGGGCCGGGGGCGGGCGCGUCCACCUGCGCGCGCCGGGCCCCGGGCGCAUGGAGCAGCGCUGAGCCGCAGCACCGGCAGCGCCCGGCGGGCGGGGGACCCCCGCUCCAUCGCGGGCCCCGCGCCGAGACCCCUGGGAACACUGUCACAUCGGGAUCUCUGGCAGGUCACAGUGACCCCGAGAAGAGUUCCAAAGUCUCUUUUCCCAGCCUGGGCUUGAAGAAGGAGUCGGAGCUCUUCAGUUCUCGGUCUCAAGGUUGUUUAUUGUAUCUUAUCUAUAAAAAAUUCUCUCCUGCCCUGCUGAGGUCCGUCCAGCAGGACAGUUCCAGGCACUCUGCUUGCCUCUGGAGUGGUGUUAUGUCUUUAUACUAAAAAUUAUGUGUACAAUGUUUACAAUUCCUUCCCAAUACCCAUCACCUGUGUUAGACAGUGAGCUUCUGCUCUAAACCAAUCUGUAAGUGCCAACAUCACAGCAGAAGAUGGAGGCCAGGAAGAAGAAGGAGAAAGGCUGCACACACCCAGUUCCCUCCAUCUUGCCUCCUGAACCCCCAUACCAAAAACCCCAAAAUCUACUUUUCCACCCCGUGGUAACUUCACUAUUAUUCUACCUAAACUGUUGUGGUUUGCUGAUCUUCAUCUAAGGUUGGUAAUUUGCUCCACGGGUCAUAAUGAAACCCACAGGUGUUUUGGGCUCUGUGCCAGGGUCUCUGAGCCCCCUGGCAGGGGUCCUGGUGUCCUGGACAGCAGAGGGAUGUUCUGGGUUCCCACACACAAGCUGUCAGUGCCAGGCUGGGUGCAGGCAUCUCUCUUUGUGUCCUUCCCUGCCUCCCAGCCCGUCCCUGCUGCUGCUGGGGAUGCUGCCCAGCCCCUCACGUGUGCCAGGUGUUGUUUGCUCAGGUUUAAUUUGCCGUGGUGCAUCGGAGCGCUGGCAGUCACAUGAUAGCUGGGGACCUCACUGUGCCUUCCUUCUUGGAGAUAUUGUUAAUUAAAUUUUUUAUGAAGGAGCUGAGGCACACCAGCAGCGAUCUCCUUUCAAGCAGAAAUGUAGCAGGCAGUUCCCAAAGAGACCUCAUCUGCUCUCUUCUCUAUGAAAAUCAAUUAGUGUUAUGAAUGUGUGAUAGCUUCUUAAAAAAUCUGUCGUGUUGGAGAAGUCUUUGCACCUCACAAUGGCAAAGGGAAGGCUGUGGCCUCUUGCUCCUCCUCCCUUCCCUGCUCUGGCUGCUGAGCAUGGCUCUGGGCAUCCACUUGGACUUUCUUUUUGUCCAGGUGCCUCAAGUUUUUCUGAAUUCUCAUUUAAGACAAAAAACAAGCACAGAGUUGUUUGGCUUGAUACGGGUGAUAUGUAAAUGAAGACAUCCAUGCUUUGGUACCUCUUACUUCAGCAGCAUCCCCAGGCAGGGGUUUGCUGAGGCAAAUUCUUGUUUGAUGUUUUCUAAGAAGCACUUUUUAUUUAGUGAGUGACCCAUGGCACAAGCUGUAGCUGUGGCAUCACUGACUUUGUCAUGGGGCAGCCAUUUGUGCUUCUGCUUAAAUGCUGUUUUAAUUCUCUCUCUGCAGUGUAAACACCAUCUCCUUGUUGACUGUUGUGUUUGUUUCUUGAACUUCCUAUCCAAGCUUAAUCACUGAUUUUAUUUUCCCCCACACCUAUCCAAGCAGAGCUACACACUAAAGAAGAAAAAUAUCAUACUUAUAUGUAAAAUGCUUAAUAGCUAUGUAGCAGUUAUAGACAAAAGAUCAUUUUCUCAGCAUGACAGUGUUACUGGAGUAAAUGACUUCAACCAAAUGAAAAAGGUGAUGUUUGCAGUCUAUAUUUUUGCCUAAGCCUUUAUUUUCCGUUGUGGCUUAUACAAUAUUUGACAUCUAGAAUAUGCUUUCAGGAGAUUUUUCUAAACAAAUUGUGUAAGAAAAGAAAAUGAGGGAUUAAUCCAUGAAAAGAGGAAAGUUGCUUUUGAAACCACCUUCCCAAAACCACUCAAAUUGGAGAGUAGCAAUUUGCCUUUUUACCUGGGAUGCUGAAGUGUUGCCACUGCUGUUCCACCUUCCUGUCACUCCUGUGUUCCCUCUGUCACAGAAGUGACUUUCACCCAUGCAGAAUGUUUGAUUGCACAGGCUGUGACCUUCACAGAGUGCUGUGCUUUCCUCCCCAUCAGAGAAACAGCACAGAUUUCCCUGCUCGCCUCUCCUGGUUCACAGCUCACAAACAGGCAGCAAUCCCAUCCUUCCGCCUGCAGACACACAGAGACAUCCCAGAUAAACAUCCCUAGGCCUGCUCUUACCCUGGGGAGGGAGAAGGGAAG
rnacentral:lncRNA from 14 species